rnacentral:lncRNA from 1 species
AGGGACACACGCCCGUGUAGGUGGGUCGUGUAGACUCACACGCCCGUGUAUCAUGGGGCACGCCCAUGCCUUUCAACCGUGGGCAACACUGACUUAUCAACACAGCCAUAGAACACGUCCGUGCUAAAUGCCCGUAGACAAAACUGUCAUUUUAACACGGCCAUGGCACGCCCAUGUGGCCUACCCAUGUACGACUUUGAACUAAAAUUUUAAGUGCAGGGGACACGCGGCCAUAACACACACCCAUGGGAGGGAACCGUGUGUCACACACGCCUGUGUGUCCAACUAUGUGGACUUUAAUAAGCUAUUUUCCAAGCCUUAAGUCAUCCCUUUCUACCUAUUAUGCUUAGAAAUUACCAAGUUUGAGAGAAAACAUGAUUUUACACUUGUAAAUGAUCUUAAUAAAACUCAUUGUAUGGAAACCUCAUAUCAUUGGUUUCCUACAUGAUAGGUGUAAUAGGCCCAAUUUGCCCGGGCUGAUGAAAAUUAAAAAAAGAAAAAAAAUCCAAACACAAAAAAAUAAUAAAAUAAAAAUUAAAGUGUUUAUGGAUUUAAAGUCCAUUUACAAAUUCAUUUAGCCCAAACAAAAAUAAUAACCUAAAUAAGUACCCAAAAUCCCUUAAUCCAAUUACAUAAAAUUUGACCCAAUUGAACAGACACCCAAAUUCCACGGUCCCGUAGCCCAAUUCACAAACGGCCCAAAAGGCCCAACUGUUUGAAAAUACCAGAAACCUAAGGGUUUCUAGAACACACUAGUGCUGCAAUUGAGCUCACGCACGGCUUUCACAAGCGGCUUUCUCCGUAAGGCCGUUUCUCCAUACCUGCAAUAGAAUAUACGAGAAGAAGCAGCAACAGAAUAUAUAGCCAAAUGAUAGAAGGAAAAUGUAUUUUUUUAUUUUUCAUUUAUUCUGUAAAUCUGGCUAUAAAAAGCCAUUAUUUGUACCUUGAUUGGGGACACUCUACGCAUACACAUACACUAUACGUAUAUCGAAUCUAGAAAAUUUCAAAAAGAAUUUCUGGAAAGGUGAUCUCUAGUUUUUUUCCCUCAUUCUUUUCUGAUCUAUUUUUUUGGUUAGCUAGAUUUCUUUUAGUAUAAGGAUCGACACCAAGGAAAACCCAAAAAUCUCUAAAAUGAAGAGACUUGGGCGAGGGUCGAAUGUUCUCCUCAAAUUUCUGUUUCUCAGUUUUUGUUUGGUUUUCGAAGAAACAAAGCAUGUUUUAAAAUUUUUUUAAAAAAAAAAGAAAGGAGAAGGAAUGAUUUACCAGAUCUCCAUGGUAGCGAAUCUCACAAGGGCUGUUAAUCGCACGGCGUCGACCACUAAUCGAGCAUUGGUUCGUCGGUAGUGGGUCAAAUGAAACCCUAGCAAUUGAGGGGCUAAUGGCUGCUGCUAUUUCUCUAAAGUAAUUAAAAUAUGGGUCAUAUUUAAAGAAAAAGUCUUGAAAUCAUCUGUAAAGUAAAACGACGCUGUUCCAAGAGGGGUAGGAUCCGCGCACCGUUGCUUAAAAUUGGGAAAUUGCGCGUUGGGUCCUUCCUUCUGCGCGAAGCCCUCAAUUGCGUCCUGAUUGCUUACCGUUUUCUAAGAUUUAGCUCCAGAAUUUGUGUGUUUUUUCAUUUGGGUCCGUGGUUCAGCGCAACGUUUUGGGGGUGCGAGAUAUUUCCAAUUUCAGUCCCCGCACAUUUGUGCGCAUGGCACAUUGACCCUAUUUUGCAAUUAUUUUAUUUGUAAAUUGUUUCUCCUGUUUUAAUUUUGUUUCAAUUAAGUAUUAUCCUCAUUUUUUUACUGCACAUACAUUUUUUUACAUGAUUGGUUAUUGGUUAUGAUAUUUCGUGUCGUUUUGAUAAUUGAAUUUUGUUUUAAAAAGGGUUAUUAUAAUUUUACUUUCUCUUUUAUUCUAUCAUUUUAAUAGUUGAUGUUUUAUUUGUAAUAAAAUUUAUUCUAGUUUAUGUAUAUCAUUAAUUUCAUGUUAUUUUGUAAUUUCUUUCGAAUUCAUUCACAUAUUUUAAUGUUUUUAUCCCAUUUUUAGAAAUUCAUUUAUUUUAUGUGCCAUGUAAGUUAUUAUUAGGCAUAUAUUUUUUGCAUUUAUAUUUAAUCUACAUACGUUAUUAAAAUUAUGUUAUUUUUAUAUAUGUAGUUUUUUAGUAGAUUUAUAUCUAAUUGCUAUAUAAACUUAUUACAUAUUUUUUUUUAUAUAAAGUUAAGUUGAUUUUAUAACUCAUAUUUUAACUCCAUGUUAUUUAAAUAUACAACUAUUUCAAAAAAAUGUUUUCACAUGCAUAUAACCUAUAUUAAAUUAUUUUACUAUAAUACAUGUUAUUAAUUUCAUAUAGCUUUAUGUAAAUAUUUUUCUGCGUAUACAUCUUCCCUUAAGGUUAUCCAUGUGUAUAAUAUAUUUCUUUUAAGGAUCAUAUUUUAAAUUGUACAAUUUACUUAUUGUAUAUAUUUUCAUAUUUUAUCAUCCUUAUGUAUGUAUUAUUUAUACGUAUCAUCAAUCCAAACCAAUUUGUUACAUGCAAAAUUAUGUUUUAUAUUAUUUGUUUUAAAGUUCCCUUUAUAAAUUUUAUAAAUGUACAUCACUAAAUGUAGGUAUUUUGUAAAUAUAGUUUUUUACCUCUUUGUAUGUAUGAUUAUAUUUUCUAAAAAUUUGUUACAUGUACAAUUUAUAUAAUUACUUAAUUUUUUUCAUACAUUAUUAAUUUCAUGCUAUUUUUUUUACAAAUAAUUAUCUUCAAAUUUAUUUACAUGUUUUAUGAAUUUGUUAUGUACAUUAUGGCCUAUCGUGUGUUUUAUUUUUCUUUUAUAUUUAUAUGUUAUUUAAGUUAUCAUGCACAUUGUCAAUCUCUAAAUGAAAUUGUGCUUUAAAAUAUUUUGCAUAUUAUUCGAUUCAAAUGUUUUAUUCUACAAUAUUUAUUUCAAAUAAAUCCUUAGUUUUUAUACAAGCUUGUCAACUUAUAGUAUGUGUUAAUUAAUUUGUCAUUAUUUUGAAAAUAUCCUAUACUAUAUUAAGUUCUAAUUCCAUUUCAUUUUGUACAUAUUUUAUGGAUCAUUUAUAUUAUGUCAUGUUAAUUAUUGUUGUAUAUCAUUUUUGUAUUGAUUGUUCAUCAUCCAUGAUUAAGAAUUUGGUCACAUUUUACUUAGAAUAGUUGUACAUAAUUGUUGGAUUUAUUAAUUGUGACUUGUUGUAUCCUAUUAUUUCAUGUUUAUAAAUCCUUUUCCAUGCAAAUGUUUUGAUACAAUACAUUAAGUAUUCCAUCUAUUUUAAAACAAAUAAACGUGUUUUGAGCAAAUUCCCAAUUUUCUUUAUUACUCAAAAAUUCUGAAACAAGGCAAUAUCCAAUAUUUGGGAAUUCGAAAAAUCGUGCUCAAUCGUGCUGGGUAUGAUUUUUUUGGUGAACUAAAUAUUUGGAUAACCUUUUUACAAUUUUAGUGUACGAUUUUUCAAAAGUCAAAAAUCAAUCAUAUUUUUAAAGGUAUAAAGGAUUGUAUCCAAUCGUACUGGGUAUGAUACUGCAUAUCUUUGAAACGAGAGGAUUUUGACUGCUAAUUUGAGCUAUUCAAACAUUUAAAAAAAAUCAUACUUUGGAAAAUAUUUUCUUUUAAAAAAACUUUUGGUAUAAGGACAACAUUAAAUCAAUUUGGUAUCAAUUUUUGGGCGUAAUGAGGGUGCUAACCCUUCCUCAUGCGUAACCGACUCCCGAAACCGUUUUUUUAAUUUUACAUGAACCAAAUUUAUUUUUUUAUGGAAUAAAAUGUUUUAGUAGGUGGCCCAAUCACACCUAAAUCAAGAGAUUGGUGGCGACUCCACAUUUUUGUUUUCAAAGGUCGAUCCCCAUUGUUUUCAAAAUAAAAAAGGUUUCGACAAUAGGUUAUUUCCCAUUUAGUGUUUAUGGGUUCCCAUGUCACUUUAAUUCAUUCGAAAUCGACUCGUUCAUGUGACUCAUUGCCAAUUGAUAACGACCAAUCACUUGUUAAUAAAACUAUGCAUAAAUUCGUAGGUCAUGGCCUACUUCAAUUAAGCCAAUUUUCAUGGCCAUAUACAAAGAGAUAAACAUACUUUUACAUGCCUUUACUUGCCAAAUCAAAUGACACAUAUAACAAAAUACUCAAAGCCCUAUACAUGCCAUUAACAAAAUAGAAAUGUAUUUAUACCCAAGCUUGACUAGUUGAUAGUAUGUUGAUUCUCCAAUCGUCUUCCAGUUCUUAUGAGUCCUUGAGCUCUGUGAGACAGGAAAAAAGAGAGGGGAAAGCAUUUACAUGCUUAGUAAGCUCGAAUAACCGGAAAGUAAACUUACGGAGUAAUUGGCAUACAUCCAUAUUCAAUUCAUGGAAUCAUCUAUUAUGAAAUGAUUUCCUAUCACAUGCACUCAAUCAAUGAGUUAGCCACAUAACAAAGCAUCAUGUAAAUUAUAUAGACGAGCUAAUCAUUCAUCAUCUUGUUAACAUACAUCAUAUUAAUCCCGUUGAGUUUCUAGGAAAUCUCGAUGGAGUACCCAUUAUCCGUCAAUUCUGACGAAUUAUCAUUUCACAUAUAUGCACUCCCGUGAAUCUCACAUCUCAUGGCAAGAUUACCAGUCUAAGCUAAAUCCUCCAUAUCAUGAACUCGUAAGAUGAUGUCGGGAUUACCAGUACAGGCUAAAUCCCUUAUAGCGACAAACACCCUUAAUGAGCUCGGAUCUGAAUUACCAGUCCAGGCUAAAUUCAGACCCUAAUCGGAUUACCCGUACAGGUUAAAUCCAUAAAGCACACAUAUUUUUUGGGAGGCUUGAUCAUUCAAGGAACACCCGUCCGAGCUAGAUCCUUUUCAUACUUGAGAUCACAGACUACCCGUCCGGGCUAAAUCCUACUGCAACACAUGCAGGAUCUCAGUUCACAUGUCAAAGAAGGUUUGUCCAUUGAAUUCCCUUUUUCAACCUCAACCGGGACAUUUGUCACAUGUUAUCAUCAAAUAUGCAUUUCUAUGAUAACUCAUGCCAAUAAUAAAUGAAAUCAUCGUGCAUUCACAAAUCAUACAAUUAUGCAUAUUAAGGGUUUACUUUAGGUUAUCCAAACUUACCUGGUAUUCUUUUCAGAGUUAUGUUUCGGUCAUUCUGAAACCUUGCAUUUACCUCGAUCGACCUCUGGAAUUUGUUCCUCGGGGUCUAUAUCAACAAAAUUAACUCAUUAAUACGCUACAUUACAAAUUUCAAGUCUAAUUCUCAUCCCCGGUCUAAAUGAUCGUUUUGCCCCUAACCUUAGACAUUUUUACGAUUUAGUCCCUAAGCUCGUAUAAAUGAAACACAUGUAAUUACUAUCUCACCCAAGCCUAGCUGAACAUUUUUCUCUCUUAUGAUAGCCCACAUUAUCCAUUAUUUUCUCAUUUCUACCACACAUUUACAUCUUUUGCAAAAUGGUCCCUAUAAGGGUUUCUCAUGAAAAUCAACUAGAGAAAGAUGUUUAACACACAUUAAUCUUUCAUAUUCCUCUAUAAUCCAUAAAAAUACAAGCAACUCAUGCUUGGGUAAAUUUUUAAACAUGAACCCUAGCAUGAAAUAUGGAUAGAAAUGGAGAGAGCAAGCUACCGGGAUUUCAAAAAUACAAAAAACAUUAAAAAACGGGGCUUGGGAGCACUUACUAUUGAGCUUGGAAAGCUUGAAAACCCUAGCUAUGGUGACAAGAGAAUUUCGGCAGCUAUAGGGAAGAAAAUGGCUGGUUUUGGCUUGAUUUUUCCCAUUUUAAUUCAUUAAAAAGCCAAAUGACCAAAAUGCCCUCAUGCCCUUUCUAUAAAAUUUCAUCCAUGCAAGCCCAUUGUUGUCCAAAAUUUUAGAAUUUGGGAAAAUUUCUCUCCAUGACCUUCUAAUUCAUAAUCUAAAGCAAUUUCAUGCAAAUUGCUUCUAGAAACCAAGUUUUGCAAUUUAUUCAAUUUAGUCCAAAAUUUCCAAUUGAACAUCUUAUAUUCAGAAUUUUGUCAUGAAACUUUAACACAUGCAUAUACUCAUAUUCUAGGCCUCAUAAUAGUCAUAAAAUAAAUAUUUUGAUGUCAGAUUUGUGGUCCCAAAACUACUAUUCCGACUAGGCCUUAUUUCGGGAUGUUACACCUUACCCCAAUCUGGUCCAUCCGUGAGGUUGAGAGAUAAAUAAUUCUUUUCAACUCAUUAGUUUAGUGGAAGAUCUAGAUAUCCUACUAGGUUAGUGACUAUUUGGUUGAAUAGAACCCGACAUAAGAAUUAGUUAUGACCAUUAAAACAAGUUAGUCUCUUAUGCUUAGACUUGAUUGAAUUGAUAAUUUAGUUUUUUUAUUUUUAUUCUUUUAUGUAGUUUUUUUAUUUAAUUAAAAUAAUAAUUAAAUCAUUAAUGUUUAAGUUAUUAUUAAUUUAGUACUUGCCUCCCUUGGGUAUGAUCCUCGGAGUACUUACUUACUUCGUUAUAAAAACUAUAUUACAACCUAACCCGUAUACUUGUAGAAACCGUCUAACUUUCGUAUUUGGUUGCAAGAAACUUACUCUAGACAUCAGCACGGUCGAAGGCAGCCAAGUUGUUGGCUUUUUUCCUGGGUAGGCAACGUUACUGAAUUAGUUUUAAUUUUUGCGUCUAACAGAAUAAUUAGGAAAAUUUUAAUUUAUAGACAUAGGUUUUAUUUUUCUUUACUAACUUUUUUAUUUUUCUUUGAGACUUUAGUGUUUGACUAGCAGUAGGGGCACACUUAUAAAGUCACCCACUAAUCCAAAAAGAAUAAUUCGUAGAAACUAUCCACAGUAGUAACAGCAACAACAAAUGUAAAAUAACCCACCUGCUGCAAGCAACCCACCAUAAGAAAAGCUGCUAUUCAACGAACUUGACGAAGUUAACAUACAAGAUUUGCCACCACCACCACCAUCACAAUUACUGUUAAACCCAUCAAUAACAUGAGAAGAAAGGAAAUUAAUAGACUAUGCGCUACCAAACCUGGACAUGGUACAGUGCAGUAUUGCAAGGUCAACCAUCACGACAAUAACUUUGAAAUUAAACCGAUCAUGAUCCAGAUAAUCCAACUUGUGCACUCUUCCAAUUUACUCCUUCUAUUAUCUCAAUUUUUUGGGUAUUUAGAAAUAUGGAUGUUACACAAGCCAUUUCUUAAAUGGAUUUGUUCUUUUUUUUCCCCUAGACCAUUCUAUUAGUGUAUCUUAGGAGCUAAAAACUUAUGUCUCAUGCCCUCUUCAUCAUAAAAAGUUGAGAAAUCCUCAUUCCAAAACUCUUUGCCUUUACCAGUUAUGCUUACAAUCUUCACAAUCAGCUACCCAUUUUCAUUCAUAAGCUUUUUGUAUAGCUUUCUAAACUAACCAAAAGUUUCAGAUUUUUCUCUAAGGAAUCUUACUUGGAUAUAUAUUAAGUAAUUAUCCUCACACACUAGUAUAUAACGCUUGCCCCAAGAUCUUUAUCUUCAUUAUACCACUCAAGUCUAUAUGAAGCAAGUCUUAUAGAAUAAUGGUUUAAAUAAGUUGUAAUUGUGAAUAAGACUCCUUAUAUUGUUUUCCUUUUAAACAGACACAAUACACUUUGAGGAUGGCUACUUUUAACUUAGGCAUUCCUCUCCGGACAUUAUAACGAACAAGGUGUUGAAGGCCUUUGCAAUGAAAAUACCUCAACUUCUCAUGCCAAAGUUCAAGUUUUGAGUUUUUUUUUUUUACAUUAAAAAGGUUGUAUUACCUUACAAUAGUUGUCAAAGGUUUUCACCUCUUCCACACAUAAUCAUCCAAUUUUGUAGUUACCAAACACUUACCGUUAGUAAAAUUGGCAAGCAUGCCUUAACCACACAAUUGGUCAGUACUCAACAAAUUGGCUUUCAAACUAUCAACCAAGAAAACAUCUUCAGCUUGGCAUUCCUGGAGCAUUGAGAAUUCAUUUUCUUAAUAUCUAACCUUCAUUCCUAUCUCUAAAAGUAACCUAGUCUUCAUGAUUUUCUUUAAAUUCAAAUAAGUAAGAUUUGUUACCAAUUAUGUGGUAAGAGCAUCCAUUAUCAAAGUGCCAAACAUGAUCCACAAUGGUCUUCAGGUAUUGAUAAGCUACGAGCAUACCCCUCUAGUUUUUUUUCUCCAAAUAAUUUUUGUCUUUGGCCUCGAGAAGUGUCUACAGUAGUUGGCACUAGUCUUGGAAUUACUUGUUUCAACCUCAAAUCAUGUAGCAUAUUGGCUUAAAGUGGCCAGGUAGUCUACAAUAAUGAAAAAUAAUCAUGUGAUUGGAAUUCAACUUUUUCUCAACAUAGAUCAAAACAGGCUUUCCUUGAACCUUUACUAUGAUCUACUAUGUUUGUAUCUUUAACAAGAACAAUUGGACUCCCAACCAUAGCUUUUAUUUUCUUCUUAAUUCUUCCCAAGCCACCUUUUCAAGAACUUCUUCCACCAAUAACAAGAAUUUCAUCUAAAUUUCCACUACUUUUAUUAAACUUUUCAAGCAUGGACUGCAUUGAAAUAAGAUCUUUUUCCAAAGCUUCUAGUCGAUCAAUUUUAUCAUCAAGAAGUGAAUUUUUCCCCCCUCAACUUGGUUAGUUUUAGAUUUCUUUCCUUUAAACUUGUGUUAUCAUCUACAAGUUUAGUAUUGACAUUGCAAACCUACUUUCAUUUUUCCAACAUUGUCUUAUAAGUCUCAGUACCUAACUCUUCUUUAGAAUCAUUAUCACUUUUAAAGUCAAUUGAAAUACGAGUGGUAAUUUUUGUUGUGGAAGCCACACUGUGAUUUCUUCUUUUGCUUUAAGGUGUUACCACACUCAACCUAUAUAUGGCCAAAACUAUGACAUUCAUGACAUUGAAUAUUCUUUUUCUUCUCCUUGGUAGUCUCCUCAUUGAUCAUAACACCUUUACCUUUUUACUUUGGAGAAAUUUUUUACAGCAUCAAACAAUUUAUUUUUCCUGGAAUGCUUUUGAAUGCUUUUUAAGGUUCUAAGCCACCAUAGCUAUCAGCUAUUGCAAUUCUUCAAUGGUAGUGGUAUUGUCAAUUGGAAUUACUCUUGUCACUUGUCAAAGAAUAUUCUACUUGUUAGAAAAAUUGAUUUAGAAAAAAAUGUUUUUAGAAAUAGAGGAAGUUUAAUUUUUUUUUUAAAAAAGUCAUUGUGAUAUUUAUAGUAAUAAACUUUAACCAAAAUUGUACUUGUGCUUCGUUUGAAGGCGGUCUGGGUCAUUUCCUGACUUUCAACCGAUCGAUCUUCUCCACUAUCCUCGAACCCUGAAUCACUUUGAGUGUGGGCUCAAACGAAUUGAACCAGUGCACAUAGUGAAAAAUUCGUUUAGCUUUCAGUAGGAAAGUUAAUUCUCUCAACAAAUUGAAAACUACGAGUAUUCUUGCAAAAAAUAGAAUUUAUUCUUUAAAAUAAAUUUCCAUUAUUUUUCAGCAGAAUGUCUAUGCUAAAAAAAUUAUAUUAAUAGGUUAACUCAUAGCUCUUAUUUAUAGAGAAUUGGUACAAGAGUUAUGUUCAAAUAAGGUUUAAUUAAAUAAUAAAGUUUUAAUAGAAAAUUUAGUAUUCUAGUAUAUCUAGAAUACAAGGGUGGCGGCACCACUUGUAAAAUACUACAAUUUGCCUCCUUUAUCAUGUAACAAAGCCUAAUUGGGUCUUUCAUGUCUUGAGUUCAAUUAUAUAUGCUUCCUAGACUUUUAUCCAACACUAUAGUUAAUCCAACCCAAUAAUUAUUUUCUAUUUCUCAAAAUAUUAUUUAUUUAAUUAAUUUACUUAACUAAAUUAAUUUUUCAAUUAAAUUAUUUUCUUAACCCAAUUCUGAUUCCGUUAAAGUCAUGGUGAGUUUAUUGUAUUAGAAUCUAUGAGAAAAUUAAUUUAAUUAUCUUAUUCAACGAAUCUAUGAUGAUUAGUUAAUUUAAUUUUCAUUUUGAACUUUAAUUAUUUAAUUACAAUCAAUUAAAUAAUACUUUGAAGGUGUGAAAUUAAUUUCUAAGUCAUUUUUUGUACUUAGUGAGAAAACACAUUCGUUGCGGAUAAUGAUGCAUGCAAUUUAUUUCUCUUACUUGUCGUUUUCAUUCAUUCCACAAUCUAUUGAUUCUAAAUACAAUUCAUUUUUGAUUAUGUCGAGCUAGCAAAAGGAUCAAUUAGAAAUAUAUAAUUAGGGCUCAAAUAUUUUUUAAUUCUUCGCUUAUUAAUCACAACUUAUUCAAUUAUGGAGUCAUUCCACUAUAGUACCAUGAGUGAACUCUCUCUUAUUAUAUAUCAUUACAAAAGCUACUUUAUUAAGUGUUCAUCCAAUGACCUUGCCAAAAGUGUGUUGCCCUUAUAGGAUAUCAUUAAUCUCUUUGGGAUAAAAUUCAUUCCCCAGAUAUGAUCCUAUUUUAUCUCAUGGUUUCCAUUAGGACUUCAAAUAUGAAAAAGUUAAUUACUAACUCAUAAUAAUUAAAUCAAUUAUCUUAUGACAAAUGACCUAUAGUCACGUUCCUUUUUCAUCAAUCAUGUAAUGCCAAUGAUAGAAUAUAAUUUAUCCUUUAUUGGGCUAUGAAUUCUAUUGUUUUGGAGUGAUGCUACAUCAUGUAGAAGUCGUAUACCUAAUGCAUCAGCUUUUGGUUCCUUGUCUAUUUGAACUUAGACUUUCAUUUACAUUCAAGUAUACGAGUCAUGCAUACAUAGUCUACCAUCCAUUGAGGAUUAUGGUAUGUCAUAUUAUAGACUUCACAAGUCAAUGAAUCCAUAAAUGAAUCUAAGAUAAAUUUAAUUUGGGUCAUGUCUGAUAUAUUGUCAAUCCAGAUAAUAAUAUCUAUGUCUCUAUCUUAUAGGAGCCAUAUGUUCCAAUAACCAAGAGAAUGUAUCUCCCUAAUUGGACUUGAUAUAUGACAUAUUAGUAUUUCAAUCAAUUUCCUGAAUUCCAAUUAAACUAAGGACACGUUUAGAUUAUCUACUAAUAUAAGUUUUUUUUGUAUUACGAUCCGACCACGUAAUAUUGUUUAGCAUUAGUUAAACAUUAAAUAAUCAAUAAGUCAAUAUUUCCUUUCAUUUUGCUUUGCAUGUAAAAACCAUUGAGGACGAUAUACAAAAAUAUUAAUGAUACUGAUAGAUAUUUUAUUAAACCAAUUUGUUCGAACAAUUACUAUUGGCAAUCGUCCAUACUUUGGAAAGUCAAAAAUAUGGAUAUCAAAAUGUUGGCACUAGAAAUCUGAUAUUUAAGGCACCAAAAGUAGGAUUGAGAUUUGGCAUAAGAUAAUUGCAAUUUUUCGUCCCAAAUCGUAUAGGGACUUUGCAAGUUGAUCCCUGAACUUCAACUAUAAAUAGGCCUAACAAUUUCUCAUUUUAUCAACCCAUAUUUGCCAUUCUCUACUUAAGGCAUUGCUCUCUCUCUUUGUAAAUCUUCACUUAUAGUUUGGAGUGAAAUAUAUUUGGUAGUGCCCGAGGACAUAGGCAAAAUUUGCUGAACCUCGUUAAAGUUCUAGUGUUCUUUAUUGUAUUAUUUUUCAUAUUUUGUGAGUGAUUUAUUGUGCUAUUAAAUUACGAUAGAGGGAUAUUCUGACUAGGAAAGACCUGGUACUUAAGCGAUCCUUGUGAUCCACCACUCUUUCCUGGGAAUUGAACUUAGUGUGAUUUUUUAGUAUAAUAAUUUUACUCUUUUACACGCUUCCGCAUAAUAAUUGGUAUCAGAGCUAGAUCCGUACUUAGGGAAUACGAUCGUUUACAAUACUAUUUAUGUAUACAGUAUUGUUCAUCCACGACACUUUUCACGUUGACGGUACUGUUCACAUAUACAGUAGUUGGGAUUGAGGAGAAAAAUGGCAAAGGCAUCGUCAUCAACAAAUACUACUGUGACCAAUGCAAAAUUUGAAGUAGAGAAAUUUAAUGGUACCAAAAAUUUUGGUAUGUGGCAAUGUGAGAUCCUGGAUGUCUUAUGUCAGCAAGAGCUAGAUAUAGCCCUUGAAGAAAAACCUAAAAAGAUGGAUGACAAAGAGUGGGCAAAGAUCAAUAGACAGGCGUGUAGUACAAUUCGCCUAUGUUUGGCCAAAGAGCAGAAGUACUCUAUCAUGAAGGAGACAUCAGCGAAGAAGUUGUGGGAUACACUGGAAGAAAAGUUUCUAACGAAAAGUCUUGAAAAUAGGGUUUGUAUGAAAAAAAAACUUUAUCGAUUCACGUAUGCACCCAGUAUGUCGAUGAAUGACCAUGUGAACUCAUUCAAUAAAAUUUUAGCAGACUUACUAAAUUUGGAUGAAAAAUUUGAAGAUGAAGACAACGCAUUAUUGUUGUUGAAUUCUCUUCUUAAUGAAUAUGAUCAUCUUACCACCACAUUGCUUCAUGGGAAGGAUACGAUCACACUUGAUGCAGUCUGUAGUGCAUUGUAUAGAUCUGAGACUCGAAAGAAAAAUAAAAGAGAUCACAGAGAUACAACUGCCGAAGUCUUAACAGUAAGAGACCGUUCACACAGUAACAAAUCUGGUA